UGGCUGGUGUGGCUUUACCUCACUUUGGAGAGGAUACAUGGUGAUGCUGACCUCCAGGGCCAGCUGCUUGGCUUGCCAAGACAGUGUCCUCAGAGACUGUGCAUGCAGACCCACAGCCUACCUGCCCUGCCCCCGGGUCCUUGCUCUGUCUUUAGCCAGCCUUUGUGGGCGUUCACUUCCCAGCACUACGAGGGAGGCUGACUGGCCUAUUUCCUCCUGACUCAAGGAAGGUUUGCUUGCUGAAAGAUUAUCCAAAUAUUGCAACUGAAGAGGUCCCCUUCAAGAUCAUCUAUCUCACCUCCCCAUCAUACACAUGAGAAAACUAACCAAGCAGGGGAAAGUGAGCUCUGAAGAAUCUUCUUGCCAGCUACUUCUCAGGUGGCAGGACUAGGACUAAGGUACCCAUGAUGAGUCUAC
rnacentral:lncRNA from 1 species